UUGUAACGCCAGUUGCAUUGCCGAGUAGCUAAGUUCGGAAUGGAUAACCGCUGAAAGCAUCUAAGCGGGAAGCCAACUUCAAGAUAAAUUUCCCAUGAGAUACGUUGCAGACUACAACGUUGAUAGGUCACAGGUGUAAGCACAGCAAUGUGUUCAGCCGAGUGAUACUAAUAUAUCGAUUGCCUUAAAUUAU
rnacentral:rRNA from 1 species